UGAGGAAUAUUGGACAAUGGGCGCAAGCCUGAUCCAGCCAUGCCGCGUGCAGGAAGAGGCAUCUAUGGUGUGUAAACUGCUUUUGUACGGGAAGAAACACUCCUUCGUGAAGGAGCUUGACGGUACCGUAAGAAUAAGGAUCGGCUAACUCCGUGCCAGCAGCCGCGGUAAUACGGAGGAUCCAAGCGUUAUCCGGAAUCAUUGGGUUUAAAGGGUCCGUAGGCGGUUUAGUAAGUCAGUGGUGAAAGCCCAUCGCUCAACGAUGGAACGGCCAUUGAUACUGCUAGACUUGAAUUAUUAGGAAGUAAAUAGAAUAUGUAGUGUAGCGGUGAAAUGCUUAGAUAUUACAUGGAAGACCAAGUGCGAAGGCAGGUUAAUACUAAGGGAUUGACGCUGAUGGACGAAAGCGUGGGGAGCGAGCA
rnacentral:rRNA from 1 species